rnacentral:rRNA from 1 species
GACGAACGCUGGCGGCGUGCUUAACACAUGCAAGUCGAACGGAAAGGCCCUGCUUUUGUGGGGUGCUCGAGUGGCGAACGGGUGAGUAACACGUGAGUAACCUGCCCUUGACUUUGGGAUAACUUCAGGAAACUGGGGCUAAUACCGGAUAGGAGCUCCUGCCGCAUGGUGGGGGUUGGAAAGUUUCGGCGGUUGGGGAUGGACUCGCGGCUUAUCAGCUUGUUGGUGGGGUAGUGGCUUACCAAGGCUUUGACGGGUAGCCGGCCUGAGAGGGUGACCGGCCACAUUGGGACUGAGAUACGGCCCAGACUCCUACGGGAGGCAGCAGUGGGGAAUAUUGCACAAUGGGCGGAAGCCUGAUGCAGCAACGCCGCGUGCGGGAUGACGGCCUUCGGGUUGUAAACCGCUUUCGCCUGUGACGAAGCGUGAGUGACGGUAAUGGGUAAAGAAGCACCGGCUAACUACGUGCCAGCAGCCGCGGUGAUACGUAGGGUGCGAGCGUUGUCCGGAUUUAUUGGGCGUAAAGGGCUCGUAGGUGGUUGAUCGCGUCGGAAGUGUAAUCUUGGGGCUUAACCCUGAGCGUGCUUUCGAUACGGGUUGACUUGAGGAAGGUAGGGGAGAAUGGAAUUCCUGGUGGAGCGGUGGAAUGCGCAGAUAUCAGGAGGAACACCAGUGGCGAAGGCGGUUCUCUGGGCCUUUCCUGACGCUGAGGAGCGAAAGCGUGGGGAGCGAACAGGCUUAGAUACCCUGGUAGUCCACGCUGUAAACGGUGGGUACUAGGUGUGGGGUCCAUUCCACGGGUUCCGUGCCGUAGCUAACGCUUUAAGUACCCCGCCUGGGGAGUACGGCCGCAAGGCUAAAACUCAAAGGAAUUGACGGGGCCCCGCACAAGCGGCGGAGCAUGCGGAUUAAUUCGAUGCAACGCGUAGAACCUUACCUGGGUUUGACAUGGAUCGGGAGUGCUCAGAGAUGGGUGUGCCUCUUUUGGGGUCGGUUCACAGGUGGUGCAUGGCUGUCGUCAGCUCGCGUCGUGAGAUGUUGGGUUAAGUCCCGCAACGAGCGCAACCCUUGUUCACUGUUGCCAGCACGUUAUGGUGGGGACUCAGUGGAGACCGCCGGGGUCAACUCGGAGGAAGGUGGGGAUGACGUCAAGUCAUCAUGCCCCUUAUGUCCAGGGCUUCACGCAUGCUACAAUGGCUGGUACAGAGAGUGGCGAGCCUGUGAGGGUGAGCGAAUCUCGGAAAGCCGGUCUCAGUUCGGAUUGGGGUCUGCAACUCGACCUCAUGAAGUCGGAGUCGCUAGUAAUCGCAGAUCAGCAACGCUGCGGUGAAUACGUUCCCGGG